rnacentral:misc_RNA from 1 species
GGGGUGUGGGAUGUUCUGCGAUGUUGGUUCUUGCAGACGCGAGGGCAUGUGAGUGGUAGCGUGGAUGUUUGUGUUUGCUGGCUCAAUGCUUUGGCUUUGAACGGUUUGCAUAUGAUCCUGAUCAUUUUUCAUUGUUGACUUUGUGUCUUCGAUGUUUGUCCGUUGUUCCUGUUUGGUUUACCCAUAAAUUGGUACACUGGUGGCUUGUUAGACUUUGAACCAUCCCGCACCAUUGCUUGGUGUUGCGGUGGCUUUUGAAUUUAUACGUAUGCUCCGCUUAGAUCUCCUAUGUGGUGUCUUUUGCGGUGCGCAUGUAUUCAUUGAUUUCUCGGACGCGGUGCUUGAGAUGACCUUUGGUUUUUCCAUGUAUGUCCCUAAUUAAUUAAUGGUUGCCUUAAAUUAUGCCUGCUCUAUUGGUUGUUUUGCGCCCCUUUCGUGGGCUCAAAACUUUCGCGAUGUGCAGAGUCAUUAAUGGAUG